rnacentral:tRNA from 1 species
GGGGAUUUAGCUCAGUGGUAAAAGCACCUGCCUGCCAAGCAUGAGAUCAUGAAUUUGAUCCCUG